rnacentral:rRNA from 1 species
AACGAACGCUGGCGGCAGGCCUAACACAUGCAAGUCGAGCGAGACCUUCGGGUCUAGCGGCGGACGGGUGAGUAACGCGUGGGAACGUGCCCUUUGGUACGGAAUAGCCCCGGGAAACUGGGAGUAAUACCGUAUAAGCUCUUCGGAGGAAAGAUUUAUCGCCAAAGGAUCGGCCCGCGUUGGAUUAGGUAGUUGGUGGGGUAAUGGCCUACCAAGCCGACGAUCCAUAGCUGGUUUGAGAGGAUGAUCAGCCACACGGGGACUGAGACACGGCCCAGACUCCUACGGGAGGCAGCAGUGGGGAAUAUUGGACAAUGGGGGCAACCCUGAUCCAGCCAUGCCGCGUGAGUGAUGAAGGCCUUAGGGUUGUAAAGCUCUUUUGUCCGGGAAGAUAAUGACUGUACCGGAAGAAUAAGCCCCGGCUAACUUCGUG